GGGAGGAGCCCCAGGCAGCAGUGCAGCAACAGCGGGGGGCGGGCGUGGUGGGCGGGACCAUCGUGCGCGCCAAGGGGGCAGGGCAGCAAAGCGCCCCAGAGGCCUGGGGCACAGGGCCGCAUCCGAUCGGUGGCAGCUAAGGAAAGGGGGGCAGGGUGAGGGGCACAGCAGGGUGUCAGGGUGCAUGUGGGCUGUAGCAAUGUGGAGGAAGCACUGGGAGGGGGGUGGAUAUUCAGGGCGGAAGUAGCGGUAACAUGCCUGGCAGCGGGGAGGCAAAGGAGCAGGGGGGAGGGGGAAGCCGUCAGGCAGUAGUGGGGGGUUGGGGGCGGGACAAGCCAGGCAUUAGCGGGUCGUCAAUGUCAGGGCGUGGUGGGCUGGGCUGCAUGAGCCUGAGGGGUUUGCAGCCAGGAGAGAACACUGAGGGUAUCAGAUUGCCUACUGCCUGGCCAACAGCAACUCCAGCACGUUCACCACAGUGGAGAUGGGUGCUAUGGUGAGGAAAUUCAUGGCCACCGAGCUGGACCCAGAGUCAGCGUACAUCUUCAGGCUGAUGAUCAAGAUGAGGCAGGGCUGGGGGAGCCCCUAGAGGCCACCAUCAUCACCACUGAGAAGCGAGAGAUCCAUUGAGGACAUGGAACACAGAGGUUGAGCAACCUGGUGGACACCAGGAGAGGGUGUGCUGUGCAACCGGGGGAGAAGGGGCUAGACCUGCCUGACCAUGGUGGAUGCAAAGGGGGCACUGAACAGGUUUGUGGGCCUUGGGCAAGGUGGUGAGCUGCAGGGCUUCACCAUUAUCCAGGAAGCCUCCGUAAACGCUGUUGCAAAUCCUUUACAACCUCUCUGAUUUUCUCCUUGGGAGAAAAUUCUAGAAGCAGAAACCUUAGCUCAGAAGACAUGAGCGUAUUUGGCUUGGAGAUAUGGAAACUCAUGGACACGCCAUGCCCUGGCAACGAGGAUGCAGGUGGUGCUUCAAACCUCAGGUGACUGGACCUCAUUGGCAGCAUCCAACGCAUCUGGCAUCUGUCUCUUCAGUGCAGAUUCAAGUGCAAAAUAUACAGGAAUGUGACCUCUGUCAUCUCCCUGGUGGAUGUAUAUCACAGUUGUAAGUUGUCAUGGUUCUGAACCUCCUGCCAGGGUUGAGGUUUAGGCCUUGACUGGGGUAUCUUUUUUGCCGGCUUCUGUCUUUCUUCUGGAGGGAAAAAUACCCCUUGUCAAUUAACUUGGAGAAGUACCCUGAACCAGAAUGUUUAGAGUUGGCUGCUUGUGGAAGAUGACUUAGUAGCACAUGUGGAGAAGGUUCUGCAAGUCCCUGCCCCACAAAAUACUUCUGAACUCCAGGUUGCCUCUGGUAGCAGAAUCCUGAGUUAUUGCAACCUGACCUUGAAUAGACAUUCUCUCGACGAUCAACUAUCUGCCCACACUUGCUUCAUUGGGCCAUACAUCUAGAGCAAAGAAUCCCGGGCAUCUUUACAAAUGGAUGUCUGAGUGGACUUCUGCACACGUUGUCUCUCUCUCUCUCUCUCUCUCUCUACCUCUAUCUCUAUCUCUAUGUUUCUUUUUGUGGGCGGAGUGGGAGUUGCAGAGGAUGAGAGAGACACUUCAGCAGGCUCCACAUGCCUUCCAUAGCCUGACACGGGCUCAAUCCCAUAACCCUGACGUCAUUACCUGAGCCAAAGCCAAAAGUUGGUCCCUUAACUGAAAGAACCUGGGCAGUCCUGGAUAGU